AAACUGGACCGGACCACAUCAAAUGAUAAAAACUGCUCCGAAAGAAAUCGGCAAAAAAAUUCCCUUAAAUAUAUAUUUGUAUAUAAUGAACAGUUACAGUGACUAACAUUACAAAUCAAUAUUUGUUUCGUCAUUCAUUUUCGUGGAUAGUUGGGUAAAGGCCGGCUGCUUGACUGAAAACCUGUUGCCAGAUUAUCGCCAGAUCAACACAUUGAAGGGGCGUACAUUUUUGAAAAAAAUGUUUUAAAAGUGCAGCGGAGCAGCGGGUAGUCCCGUAUAUUAUUUAGUGGAUGGUUCGGUACUAUACAUACUCAACGAUGAAACGAAGAAUCCAGUCUGUUCCGCAGUUCAUUCAGAGGAAGCCAACUCUGGGACCUUCCCAGCCGGAGCCUACACAACAGGGCUCUUCAGUGAAGCUUGGAAAGCACAGAACACAGUAUAGUCCACCCAACCCUCGUUAUAUCGCCCCUCGCUAUACUGCGGAUUCUGAUAUAUCGCGGUCCUGGAGU